rnacentral:rRNA from 1 species
ACCUCGGAUCAGGUAGGGAUACCCGCUGAACUUAAGCAUAUCAAUAAGACGGAGGAA